GUGCCAGCAGCCGCGGUAAUACGUAGGGUGCGAGCGUUGUCCGGAAUUACUGGGCGUAAAGAGCUUGUAGGCGGUCUGUCACGUCGAUUGUGAAAACUUGCAGCUCAACUGCAAGCUUGCAGUCGAUACGGGCAGACUAGAGUACUUCAGGGGAGACUGGAAUUCCUGGUGUAGCGGUGAAAUGCGCAGAUAUCAGGAGGAACACCGGUGGCGAAGGCGGGUCUCUGGGAAGUAACUGACGCUGAGAAGCGAAAGCGUGGGUAGCGAACAGGAUUAGAUACCCUGGUAGUCC
rnacentral:rRNA from 1 species